UGCCAGCAGCCGCGGUAAUACGGAGGGGGCUAGCGUUGUUCGGAAUUACUGGGCGUAAAGCGCACGUAGGCGGUUUUGCAAGUCAGAGGUGAAAGGCCUGGGCUCAACCUAGGAACUGCCUUUGAUACUGCAUCACUUGAGUCCGGGAGAGGGUAGUGGAAUUCCCAGUGUAGAGGUGAAAUUCGUAGAUAUUGGGAAGAACACCGGUGGCGAAGGCGGCUACCUGGCCCGGUACUGACGCUGAGACGCGAAAGCGUGGGGAGCGAACAGGAUUAGAUA
rnacentral:rRNA from 1 species